rnacentral:tRNA from 1 species
GGCCCCUUAGUUCAAUGGAUAGAAUGUGAGUUUCCGGAACUCAAGGUAUAGGUUCGAUUCCUAUAGGGGCUA